rnacentral:misc_RNA from 1 species
GCUCCGUUGGUGAACCAGCGGAGGGAUCAUUAUCGAGUUUAUAACUCCCAAACCCUAUGUGAACUUACCACUUGUUGCUUCGGCGCGCGCUUCGGUGCCGCCGAGGACACUUAAACUCUUUGUUUUUAUAAGCAUUUCUGAGUGGCCGAAAGGCAAAAUACAAAUGAAUCAAAACUUUCAACAACGGAUCUCUUGGUUCUG